rnacentral:rRNA from 1 species
AGUGAACGCUGGCGGUAGGCCUAACACAUGCAAGUCGAACGGCAGCACAGUAAGAGCUUGCUCUUACGGGUGGCGAGUGGCGGACGGGUGAGGAAUACAUCGGAAUCUACUUUUUCGUGGGGGAUAACGUAGGGAAACUUACGCUAAUACCGCAUACGACCUACGGGUGAAAGCAGGGGAUCUUCGGACCUUGCGCGAUUGAAUGAGCCGAUGUCGGAUUAGCUAGUUGGCGGGGUAAAGGCCCACCAAGGCGACGAUCCGUAGCUGGUCUGAGAGGAUGAUCAGCCACACUGGAACUGAGACACGGUCCAGACUCCUACGGGAGGCAGCAGUGGGGAAUAUUGGACAAUGGGCGCAAGCCUGAUCCAGCCAUACUGCGUGGGUGAAGAAGGCCUUCGGGUUGUAAAGCCCUUUUGUUGGGAAAGAAAAGCAGCAGGUUAAUACCCCGCUGUUCUGACGGUACCCAAAGAAUAAGCACUGGCUAACUUCGUG